AUUGAACGCUGGCGGCAGGCCUAACACAUGCAAGUCGAGCGAGCGGCGGACGGGUGAGUAAUGUAUGGGGAUCUGCACGAUGGAGGGGGAUAACUACUGGAAACGGUGGCUAAUACCGCAUACUAUAGGAUGAACCCAUAUGGGAUUAGCUAGUGGGUGGGGUAAAGGCGCACCUAGGCGACGAUCCCUAGCUGGUCUGAGAGGAUGAUCGGCCACACGGGAACUGAGACACGGCCAAGACUCCUACGGGAGGCAGCAGUGGGGAAUUUUGCAAAUGGGGCGCAAGCCUGAUGCAGCCAUGCCGCGUGUAUGAAGAAGGCCUUCGGGUUGUAAAGUACGUUCAGCGGGGAGGCGUUACCCGCAGAAGAAGCACCGGCUAACUCCGUGCCAGCAGCCGCGGUAAUAC
rnacentral:rRNA from 1 species